AGCCCGGUGGUGUAGUGGUCAAUCAUGGGAGGCUCUGGACCUCUCGACUGCGGUUCGAAUCCGUACCGGGCUA
rfam:Euryarchaeota archaeon 55_53 PW_scaffold_7, whole genome shotgun sequence.